rnacentral:rRNA from 1 species
GAUGAAAGCUAGCUAGAGGCUUAACAAAUGCUAGUCGAGGGACCGGCGCACGGGUGAGUAACACGUAACCAACCUGCAAUUUAAUCGGGGAUAGCCUUUCGAUAGCAAGAUUAAUACCAGCCAUAAAGGAUGGGGAUGCGUUCCAUUAGGUUGUUGGUGAGGUAACGGAGCACCAAGACUUCGAUGGAUAGGGGUUCUGAGAGGAAGGUCCCCCACAUUGGAACUGAGCCACGGUCCAAACUCCCACGGGAGGCAGCAGUGAUGAAGAGUGGUCAAUGGGCGCUAGCCUGAACCAGCCCAGUAGCGUGAAUGAUGAAGACUUAUAGGUCGUAAUCUUCUUUUAUAUAAGAAGAAGUAUUAUAUGAAUAAGGAUCGGGUACCUCCGUGCCGGCAGCCGCGGUAAUUC